rnacentral:rRNA from 1 species
AGUUUGAUCCUGGCUCAGGAUGAACGCUAGCGGCAGGCCUAAUACAUGCAAGUCGGACGGGAUUCCCGAUUUAUCGGGAUGAGAGUGGCGAACGGGUGCGUAACGCGUAUGCAACCUACCUUCAUCAGGGGGAUAGCCCGGAGAAAUCCGGAUUAAGACCGCAUGAAACCACAGCGCAGCAUUGCGCAAUGGUCAAAUAUUCAUAGGAUGGAGAUGGGCAUGCGUGUCAUUAGCUAGUUGGCGGGGUAACGGCCCACCAAGGCGACGAUGACUAGGGGAUCUGAGAGGAUGGCCCCCCACACUGGUACUGAGACACGGACCAGACUCCUACGGGAGGCAGCAGUAAGGAAUAUUGGUCAAUGGGCGGAAGCCUGAACCAGCCAUGCCGCGUGCAGGAAGACAGCCCUCUGGGUCGUAAACUGCUUUUGUACCGGAAUAAACCCACCUUCGUGAAGGUGGCUGAAUGUACGGUAAGAAUAAGGAUCGGCUAACUCCGUGCCAGCAGCCGCGGUAAUACGGAGGAUCCAAGCGUUAUCCGGAUUUAUUGGGUUUAAAGGGAGCGUAGGCGGCCCGUUAAGUCAGAGGUGAAAGACGGUAGCUCAACUAUCGCAGUGCCUUUGAUACUGACGGGCUUGAAUGCAGAUGAGGUGGGCGGAAUGUGGCAAGUAGCGGUGAAAUGCAUAGAUAUGCCACAGAACACCGAUUGCGAAGGCAGCUCACUAAGCUGCGAUUGACGCUGAGGCUCGAAAGCGUGGGGAUCAAACAGGAUUAGAUACCCUGGUAGA